AGUGAACGCCGGCGGUAGGCCUAACACAUGCAAGUCGAACGGCAGCACAGGAGAGCUUGCUCUCUGGGUGGCGAGUGGCGGACGGGUGAGGAAUACAUCGGAAUCUACUCUGUCGUGGGGGAUAACGUAGGGAAACUUACGCUAAUACCGCAUACGACCUACGGGUGAAAGCAGGGGACCUUCGGGCCUUGCGCGAUUGAAUGAGCCGAUGUCGGAUUAGCUAGUUGGCGGGGUAAAGGCCCACCAAGGCGACGAUCCGUAGCUGGUCUGAGAGGAUGAUCAGCCACACUGGAACUGAGAAACGGUCCAGACUCCGACGGGAGGCAGCAGUGGGGAAUAUUGGACAAUGGGCGCAAGCCUGAUCCAGCCAUACCGCGUGGGUGAAGAAGGCCUUCGGGUUGUAAAGCCCUUUUGUUGGGAAAGAAAUCCAGCUGGCUAAUACCCGGUUGGGACGACGGUACCCAAAGAAUAAGCACCGGCUAACUUCGUGCCAGCCGCCGCGGUAA
rnacentral:rRNA from 1 species